rnacentral:rRNA from 1 species
GUCCACGCCCUAAACGAUGCCAACUAGUUGUUGGGGAAGGAGACUUCCUUAGUAACGAAGCUAACGCGUGAAGUUGGCCGCCUGUGGAGUACGGUCGCAAGAUUAAAACUCAAAGGAAUUGACGGGGACCCGCACAAGCGGUGGAUGAUGUGGAUUAAUUCGAUGCAACGCGAAAACCUUAACCUACCCUUGACAUGCCAGGAACUCUGCUGAGAGGUGGAGGUGCCCGAAAGGGAACCUGGACACAGGUGCUGCAUGGCUGUCGU